UCUGGCUUGAUCCUGGACUUCUCAGCCUCUAGAACUUUUUAGGCUGGCAAACUGAAAGAUACUAUUGCUUCUAGUCAUGGAGGCUGAAAUGAUUGUUGUCAUCUACAACCGGAGAAGCGUGAGAGGGGACACAAUGGAGGCAGGAGGAAGGCAGAGGAGGACACAGAGGAAGGCAGAAGUGCAGCAGUGGGUGAGAGUACAAUGGCAGAGGACCAGAGAGAUCCAGAAGGGCCAUUGAGACCCUGAGAUGAUCAGGAGAACCCAAAGCAGCAGUUCUAAUAAAGAAGCAGAGAAACGGAAGAAGAUGAAGUGUCCUGAUCAUACAAGUGGUAGUAUAUAAAUUAAAUACUAAUAAAGUAUAAACCUGUAUAUAUUUUACAGUAAAACUGGCAUGUAUGUAAUUAUGGGAUUUAAUUACAAAUCCCAGUCAUUGCUAAGUAGGUUUAUUAUUUUGAGCAUGUAGUUGAAUUAAAACAGGCCAACCUAUGAGUUUAAAAGUCAAGUUUUUACACCCUUAUUAUUCUGCACAACCUUCUAGAGGCUUUUACUAAUGAGUUUUCCCAUACUUCUUGUUAGUCUCAUACACAUUUAAGAAUUAACUAUUAGGCCAGGUGCAGUGGCUCACGCCUGUAAUCCCAGCACUUUGGGAGGCUGAGACAGGAGGAUCACCUGAGGUCAGGAGUUUGAGACCAGUCUGACGAACAUGGAGAAACCUCGUCCCUACUAAAAAUACAAAAUCCGCCAGGCAUGGUGGUGCAUACCUGUAAUCCUAGCUACUCAGGAGACUGAGGCAGGAGAUUCACUUGAACCCAGGAGGCAGAGGUUACCAUGGGCCAAGAUUGUGCCAUUGCACUUCAGCCAGGGCAACAAUAGUGAAACUCCACCUCAAAAAGAAAAGAAAAGAACUGCUAUGUAGAAAUCUCAUCAAAACUGAUUAACAGGAACACCAUCAAAAAAACCAGGUUGGCAUCCUUUUUAAAUUGAUGAUAUCCUCUCUACUCAGAAUAAC